rnacentral:lncRNA from 1 species
AAAAAAGUGAAAAAAGUAUAUUUAAACAAAACGCAUUUGACUAACAGGUCGAACAACUGAUGUUCUUUAACCCUGCUGACUGCCAUUGGCGAUUGCCAUUAAAAAAAUGGUUAUAUACACAUCACUAGAAAAAAAAUAUACCACCUACUUUAAGUGUUAUGGUUUGCUACUGACCCCGUUCUGAUCCAUAGAGGUUAUGAAAAUCAAUAGGGGGUGAGGCGUAAGGCCGAAUCUCAUUUGGAUUUCACUUACCCUCUAUGGUCCUUAUGAGUUGAGAAGUGAACCAUUUAACUAAUUUAUCGCACGAGGGACUUUUUUGCUGCUAUUUGAAGAAAACAAAUUAUGAAAUACACCAGCAUCAAUAGAUGACGCCAACAUAAACAGUAGACGCGACGGCAUGAACCAUAUAUGAACUUUAUUAACCCCAAACGGAUCCAUAGAGGGGUCACCACGUGACGGCGUUAAACAAAUCACAACGUCAUAAUUUACCGUUUAAUAUAAUUCUUUAUUUUUUGUAUUUAUCGUUCCUUUCAAGGGUAUUUCAUUUAUAUAAUGAAUAUCAGUCUUAGCCUUUUUAGUUGGGAAAACCACUUCUGACCUUCCGCAUGUGGUUGAUAAAUUAAACUUUCUCCUGAGCCGUUACACCUAUGAUUCUAUAAAGAGUCUAAGACGCAUCUGAAAACAAAUAACAUGACUUGUGAGGGUGC